AGUAAUUGAAAAACAGAAAUUUAUUUUUUUACUCGUGCCAUACACUAAAUCCUUAUAUUUAUUUAUUUUAAAUUGAAGAAACAACUUGAAGGGGUAUAAAUAUCACCAUAGUUAAUAAUUUUAUUCAGAAUAGUUUCGUUAGCAUCAAGUUAUUUGUCUAUUAAGUAAAAGUUUUAUAAAUAUUUUGACAAGAUGAAAUUCUUCAUUGGUUUUUUGUUUUUGGCUUUAGUAGCUGUUGCUUGUUGUCAAGAUCUAACUGCAGAUGAGGUUAUUAGCAUUAUCCAAGCGAAAAAUCCCACUCUCAACUGUAUUGGACUUCAGUGCAGACUUAGCUGCGUACAAAGUGGAAGCAGAUCUGGAUACUGUGAAAACGAUGCUUGCGUCUGUGUGCCUACUUCAUAAACAUCCAAAACUAUAUAAUCUAGUUUAGCUAAACUUCAUAAUUUGACGUAUUAAUUUAGUUUCUUUGCAUGUAAUAUUUUCUUAUGUUAUGGUAAUAUGAUAUAAUAAAUUGAUGAAGCAUUAA